rnacentral:rRNA from 1 species
UGCGAAGGUAGCAUAAUCACUUGUUCAUUAAAUGUGGACUAGUAUGAACGGCAUCACGAGGGUCAUACUGUCUCCCUAUUCCAAUCAAUGAAACUAUUUUUCCCGUGAAGAAACGGGAAUUAAACUAUAAGACGAGAAGACCCCAUGGAGCUUUAAACCCAGAACAUCUACCAACCCCCCCCAUUUCUACCUAGCUAAAGUAUUUAUGUUUUCUGGUUUUCGGUUGGGGCGACCACGGAGCAAAGAAAAUCCUCCACGAUGAACAAGCUUUACUUUUACCUAUGAAGCACACUUCUAAGGAUCCUUAAUAUGACAUUUCUUGACCCAAGCCUACUUGAUCAACGAACCUAGUUACCCUGGGGAUAACAGCGCAAUCCAUUUCAAGAGCCCAUAUCAACAAGUGGGUUUACGACCUCGAU